rnacentral:rRNA from 1 species
GAGUGAACGCUGGCGGUAGGCCUAACACAUGCAAGUCGAACGGCAGCACAGUAAGAGCUUGCUCUUACGGGUGGCGAGUGGCGGACGGGUGAGGAAUACAUCGGAAUCUACUUUUUCGUGGGGGAUAACGUAGGGAAACUUACGCUAAUACCGCAUACGACCUACGGGUGAAAGCAGGGGAUCUUCGGACCUUGCGCGAUUGAAUGAGCCGAUGUCGGAUUAGCUAGUUGGCGGGGUAAAGGCCCACCAAGGCGACGAUCCGUAGCUGGUCUGAGAGGAUAAUCAGCCACACUGGAACUGAGACACGGUCCAGACUCCUACGGGAGGCAGCAGUGGGGAAUAUUGGACAAGGGGCGCAAGCCUGAUCCAGCCAUACCGCGUGGGUGAAGAAGGCCUUCGGGUUGUAAAGCCCUUUUGUUGGGAAAGAAAAGCAGCAGGUUAAUACCCCGCUGUUCUGACGGGACCCAAAGAAUAAGCACCGGCUAACUUCGU